rnacentral:rRNA from 1 species
GACGAACGCUGGCGGCGUGCUUAACACAUGCAAGUCGAACGAAGUGGCGAACGGGUGAGUAACGGGUAAUCAACCUGCCCUUCAGAGGGGGACAACAGUUGGAAACGACUGCUAAUACCGCAUACUGAAGUAGGGGAUUGCGUCUGAUUAGCUAGUUGGAGGGGUAACGGCCCACAAAGGAGAUGAUCAGUAGCCGGUCUGAGAGGAUGAACGGCCACAUUGGGACUGAGAAACGGCCCUGACACCUACGGGAGGCAGAAGUGGGGAAUCGUCCGCAAUGGACGAAAGUCUGACGGAGCAACGCCGCGGGAGUGAUGACGGCCUUCGGGUUGUAAAGCUCUGUUAAUCGGGACGCGGUACCGGAAUAGAAAGCCACGGCUAACUACGUGCCAGCAGCCGCGGUAAUAC